UGUGAUGGGGAGCGAAAUUUAGUAGCGAAGUAGCUGAUUUCACACUGUCAAGAAAAGUCUCUAUCGAGGUUAAAGGUACCCGUACCGCAAACCGACACAGGGGGGUGAGGAGAGUAUCCUAAGGCCAGCGAGAGAACUGUUGUUAAGGAACUCGGCAAAAUGACCCCGUAACUUAGGGAUAAGGGGUGCCACCAUCAGGUGGCCGCAGAGAAUA
rnacentral:rRNA from 1 species